AUAAUUUAAUUUGCCGAUCCACCAUGAAAUGAUAUAACCCAUUUGUUGUUCUCCGGAAAUGACUGAUGUGUUCUGAUACGGAAGAAUCAAAAUAGGAUACAUCCCUAACGCUAUUUCUUUUUUUUACGCUAUUUCUUUUUUUUCCGUAUAAAGUCUAAGGAAAUGAUUAAAUUAAAGUAAAUAAAUAAAAAAGAGUCUUUUUUAUUUUCAUUGAUUCGUUUUUCAAUCGAUUUAGCAAUAACGAACGGAUUACUCGUAAUCCGUGUCAAUCUCAAUAAAAUGCAUAUCUAUAUAAUAUCUAUUAUCUAUAUAAUAUCUAAAUGGAUAUCAAUAUAUAAAUAAGAUAUAGAUAUGAAUAUAUAAAUAAGUCCGCCUCUGUCAUUUACAGCACAACGGUUCGAAUCUAAAAUAGAAAAGGAAAUGGUUGAA
rnacentral:tRNA from 1 species